GCCGAAGUAAAAAUGAAUUUAGUAUAGUUCUAAGCACCAGCAUAGAUCAACUUUACUCAGGGUCAGUUCAAAGUUCAAACUUGGCAUGAUUACUAUUAGAUGAAAGGUCUCUUUGAACGAGUAUUGUUGCGGCCAAUCCCCUACCAUCCAAUCAUCGGUGUCACGCAUCUAUAAGAAAAAUCCUCAUUGAUCGGAGAUACCUCCGAUGGGAUCCUCCGACAGUCAAGUCAGAGAGGAGACUAGGCAACAAUGGAAC
rnacentral:lncRNA from 1 species